rnacentral:rRNA from 1 species
AAACAUGUCUUUUUGAUUUAUAUUUAAAGUCUGACCUGCCCAAUGAAAAUUUAAUGGCCGCAGUAUACUAACUGUGCAAAGGUAGCAUAAUAAUUAGUCUUUUAAUUGAAGGCUGGAAUGAAUGGUUGGACGAAGUAUAAGCUGUUUCAUAUAAAUUUAAAAUAGAAUUUUAUUUUUUAGUCAAAAAGCUAAAAUUUUAUUAAAAGACGAGAAGACCCUAUAAAUCUUAAUAGUUUUUUAUAUAUGUAUUUUUUAGUUUUUAUUUGUUUUUAUAUAAAAAAUUAUUUUAUUGGGGUGAUAUUAAAAUUUAAUAAACUUUUAAAUUAAAUUUCAUUAAUUUAUGAAUUGUUGAUCCAUUAAUAAUGAUUAUAAGAUUAAGUUACUUUAGGGAUAACAGCGUAAUUUUUUUGGAGAGUUCAUAUCGAUAAAAAAGAUUGCGACCUCGAUGUUGGAUUAAGAAAAUUGUUAGGUGUAGCUGCUUAAAUAAUAAGUCUGUUCGACUUUUAAAUUCUUACAUGAUC